CUACGGGGCGCACCAGUAGGGAAUAUUGCUUAAUGGGCGAAAGCCUGAAGCAGCAACGCCGCGUGUACGAUGAAGGCCUUCGGGUUGUAAAGUACUUUUUGCAGGGAUGAGGAAGGACAGUACCUGCAGAAUAAGCCUCGGCUAACUACGUGCCAGCAGCCGCGGUAAAACGUAGGAGGCGAGCGUUAUCCGGAUUUACUGGGCGUAAAGCGCGUGUAGGCGGAUUGGUAAGUUAGCUGUGAAAGCUCCCGGCUUAACUGGGAGAGGUCGGUUAAUACUGUCAGUCUAGAGUAUGGAGAGGGAAGUGGAAUUCCGGGUGUAGUGGUGAAAUGCGUAGAUAUCCGGAGGAACACCAGAGGCGAAAGCGGCUUCCUGGCACAUAACUGACGCUCAGACGCGAAAGCUAGGGGAGCGAACGGGAUUAGAUACCCCGGUAGUC
rnacentral:rRNA from 1 species